rnacentral:misc_RNA from 1 species
CUUUUCUCAAGGCCAUUCUGGUUGGCAGUAGGAUUAUGGCGUAAUUAAUUCCAAGUUUCUGAGAAGAGUUCACCAUGUAUUUUGAGUAGGUGUUCGUGAAUUUAAGGAUGUGAUAGUUCUAGCUUAAUCACACAAAAAGAUGAAUGCCCACGCACUCUGCCCAGGUUGCAAAAUUAAAAGUUGACCAUCAAAGUUGCAGUUUAAAACAUGCUAGUGAUCCUCAAUAUAAAGUAGUUUUUCUUCCAAUGAGGGGUUGGCUAAUCCAGUAAACUUGUGGUAAACACAGGUGGAGUGAUGAG